rnacentral:rRNA from 1 species
ACCUACGGGGGGCCGCCGUGCGGCCUCUUUGUCCCUUUUCUUUCGCCUGCCCCAGCCAAGUCGCGUGAGGGAAGACGGUCCUAUGGAUUGUAAACCUCUUUAGGCGGGGAGCAAUGCCGGGCACGCGUGUCCGGAGGGAGAGUACCCGCAGAAUAAGCAUCGGCUAACUCCGUGCCAGCAGCCGCGGUAAUACGGAGGAUGCGAGCGUUAUCCGGAUUUAUUGGGUUUAAAGGGUGCGUAGGCGGAUUUUUA